CUUAAUAAAUUAAAAACGCGUGCUAGACAGGAGGAUUCAUUAAUAUCGCUCAUUUUUUAUGGAAGACAUACAUUUGGGGUGUUGGAGUAUUAGAGAUAUUUUGGAUGUAUAUUUCAACCUUUCCACGAGGAUGGGAGUGUCAUCUUAGGUCAUUUUGACCCAGGAGAUGAUGUGCAUACAAUUAUAAUACAUGUCGUUAUAGUAGAGUGUUAGGGUGUCUGAGGUAUUCAGGAUGUAUAUUCCAAUUCUUGUAGAACGAGUGCAAGGUCAUUUUGACCCGGUGGAUAUAUAUUUUUUUUUGUAUAUUCCUUUUUAUUAAAUUUCAUUGUAAUCCUAGGGUACACGAAAUGUAUAUUUGGAGAAUAUAUUCAGUGUCAGGUCUUUGAUGGAUAAGGUACUCAAUUUUAGGUCUGUAAUAGAUAAUAGAUUUCAAACCUAUCACAGAGAAGGUAUUUAGGUCUUUGGUCUAUCCUAGAUGUCCUAUUCAAUUGUAGGUCUUCAUAACAAACAAGGCAUUCAAUCUGAGAUUUAUCGUAGAUAUACUAGGUAUUCAAUUUGAAAUUUAUCGUAAUAGGUGAGGAAUGAAUUUUGGAUUUAGAUUAUAGAUAUAUUCACGAUUGAACGAUAGGUAACACGUUAAAUUUUGUAUAGAAAAUUUUUACAAACAACAUCUCGUUUCUGUUUAUAUUUUGUUCUCUGUUACUUUCAUCCCGACGUCAUAGAAUUGCACGAACAGGAUAGCAUUUCGCUUCGUUACGUUUCCUAUCAAAGUCAAAUGCGCUGGAUAAAUGUGAAAACGCGUCAAUCGAAUGUUUUUUUAUUUUCCCUUUUUCAAAAGAGACAACGCAUAAAACGUUACAACGUCAUUUUAUACGUAGAUUGAUCUCUUCAAUCGAUUGUUUGCGAAUCAGCAGAAUUCUUUUAUAUUUCAUUCUAACAUUUACAAUGUUAUUUAAAUAUUUUUAAUUUGAAAUUUAAUACAGGUGGCAGGAAGGUUGAUAAAAAAUAAAAAUGAGAAGCAAUUAUAAAAAUACAAAAGAGUCAAAUAUCAAAAACUAUAAUUUAAUAAAAAAAGAAAUGAUAGAAGUAAUAACAGGAACACAAAUUCGAAAUCGAAAAUCAAAAAAAUCGAAGCUUCAAAAAAAAUUGAAUUGCCUUUCUAGAAUUCAACUCAAUAUUUAAAAUAUUGGUUUAAAAAUAGAAAAGAAAAUUAGUAUUCAAGUACAUUCUAAUUUUAUAAUAAUAAAGUGUUAAUAUCAAACUUACUGAAGCACGGUGUUAAUAUAGAAACAAACUUUUCCAUUAUAAAACUGAUAACAACUCGUCCACCUUGUUUCUGGUAAUUUCACAAAAAAAGAAGUGAGCAAACGUAAACGUUUGUCGAUUUGCGGCUGUGCUAUCAACAAAACUUUUACGACAGUUUCGCUGAACACGCGGAUGAACUUUAAUCUCGUUUCAGUUUCCACAACAUUGAAAAAAUUUCUAGAUCCGGAGGGAAAAAAAAAAGAAUAAACUGGGAUGAUUGCAUGAAAUAAGUACGCUAGGAAUUUAUGUAUUCUUUAGAAAAUUCGAGUCGUAAACUUUCUUACGGCGUAUCAUUUCAAACGAAUAUUUUACCGUUGGUGAAUUUUUUCACUGCAGCGAAGCAUCCCUAGAUUCAGUAAGGAAGACGAAGAAUUGCAGACCGAACGGAAUUCGGGCGACAGGAUUAGGAUUAUCAUAACAAUUACAAACGACGUGCUAGAUUGUGUAAUAAUAGAUUCGUGUCGACACCUUUUUCUUCAAGGUAGAACAAUUGCAAUAGAAUGAAACACGACACCGAUGAGGAUCCCGAAUACUUUUCUACUUGCACACGUCAUCGCGGAUUCCAAUUGUGACAUUUUUCACGCCUGGUUUAUGCCGUUAUAAUGUUUGACUAUGACAAAUGAAACUUUUCUCUUCAACAAGAGAAUGUUACGUUAGGUUUCUACACGAAAUAUUCUUUCGUAGGUAAUCAAAAAA